UGAGUACGCGCGGGCGCGCUUGCUUGGAGAGAGUCGGUGGUCUUUAAAAUGUCCGCCGGCCUGCUUGUUUGAAUGAGCGGCGUCCGAGCGCCUUCAGCGUACUCAAAGCGCGAAGCUGUGCGUGGACGCUGUGGAAGUCCCCGGAGGUGCCUCGGCUUGGUCUCCCCGUAUAGUGAUCCUGCACGCAAAAUGAAAUAAGGCUUGGGAUGAAAACUGGCACCUGUCAAAGCAGAUGGUGGUCUCUAGCGACUCCUGUUCUUUCAAAGGUGGGCCAUCCAAGGUGUGUGGGACUUGGGGAUCUGAAAGUUGUGACUGCGUGCGUCGGAUACGAGUGCAGGAAACAUUGUGCAGAAUUACAGACCAAAGUGGAGAAACUCCAGAUUGACCGUUAAGCAGUUGGCACUUGAUGACCACAGCUCUCUGCCCGUUCUACUGACCAUUCAGCAAUCAAAGCUCGCCAGAUUCUGCCCGCUUGACUCCGAGCGGCUCGAGGUUUCAUGUCAAGGCUAAUUUCAAAUGUCGUCCGGUGUCACCGAAAUGAAGAAGAUAUGAAGCACUUAGUUGUGUAAUCAACGUGCACAGAGUGCACUGAAACAUCUGCCUUCAUCUCGACUGCCAUGUUGUUAGCCUGCCUGAGGUAAAGUCCUCUUGACGGAGGAUCACAUCGCGUCCUGUCAUCGGAUUGGCCGACUCAGCUGUGGAAUGACCAAUGGGGGGAGGCAGUCUGAUGGCCGAGGUCU